rnacentral:rRNA from 1 species
AACGAACGCUGGCGGCAGGCCUAACACAUGCAAGUCGAGCGAAGCCUUCGGGCUUAGCGGCGGACGGGUGAGUAACGCGUGGGAACGUGCCCUUUGCUACGGAAUAGCCCCGGGAAACUGGGAGUAAUACCGUAUGUGCCCUUCGGGGGAAAGAUUUAUCGGCAAAGGAUCGGCCCGCGUUGGAUUCGGUAGUUGGUGGGGUCAUGGCCUACCAAGCCGACGAUCCAUAGCUGGUUUGAGAGGCUGAUCAGCCACACUGGGAAUGAGACACGGCCCAGACUCAUACGGGAGGCAGCAGUGGGGAAUCUUAGACAAUGGGCGCAAGCCUGCUCUAGCCAUGCCGCGUGAUCGAUGAAGGCCUUAGGGUUGUAAAGAUCUUUCAGGUGGGAAGAUAAUGACUGUACCACCAGAAGAAGCCCCGGCUAACUCCGUGCCAGCCGCCGCCGUAAAAC